GCGAGGCCAGGCUUGUUUUUGACAAAGACCAUGCUGGGGCCGCACUGAAGUCAGGACAGGAAGGCUGGUCAGGAAGAGAGUGAAAUGGCCUGAAGAGAGAGGACGAGGAUGGGAGAGUGACAGCGGGACAGAGGCGCCGGGACCUGAAGGAUCCUUCAGUGAACCCUCUCAGGACCCACCGCACCCGGUGUGCCACACGAGGCCGAUGUUUCACUAACCCACAUCGGGGGAGCCAAAUCGCCCCCUGCCUAGGGCCCCAGCCUCGAGAGGAAGCUGUCAUCACUGUUCCAGGACUCUCCUUGGAUUUGCAUUUCCUGACUUGGGUGAAAUACUCUUCCAGCGGAAGAACUGAAUCAAGAGUGUGUGAAUGCUUGACAUCUUUUUGGUGAGUGCAUCGUGGGCCCUGCCGAUGAAGGCUCCUCUCUCUGCUCAGUUCUGUAGGAACCAACCCUGCUUCUCGAGCAGGUUGUUUCCAUUAGUCGGUUGUCCAGCCCCUUCUGAGUGUCACUGCCCUCAUGCUGGCGAUACAGCAAGCUCCUGAAGAAGCACCUCUUCUCAAUUAAACAAGUCUUCCUCCUACCUUGGCACAGCUCUCUGAGCACGGAGGUCGGGCACGGGCACCCUGGCAGGGCCCACUCCUGUUGUUCAUGCUGCAGUGUCUGUUAGGUGCAAAGGUCAGGAUGACAUUGCAAAUGCAUGGGGAGAAAUUGUGUGGGAAAGGCGUUGUGUCAGACACCAGCUCUGGUUAACCUGAGAGAAGCCAUUUGUUGCACAGUUGAUAGAAUUUAAGGAAUAAAAAGAAACAGGUCUUCAGAAGAACAGAGUUCAACGUAGUUUCGAAGGAGUGGGAGCUAACAGCCAAUCCCUUUGAGGCUGCAGUCCAGUGUGUGUGCUCAGCUCCCCUCAAGGAUCACAUCCCUGCUGGCCUGGCUUGGGCUGGGGGCCCCAAAAGGAAGGGGACUUCGGCGACAGGCCACCAGGACUUCCUUCCUCUGAAGGGAAAGCGGGACCCUGCACCUUAGAGGAGGCGAGAGGGAAGCUGGGGAGCCACAACCCAUCACGAUUUAUCAGGCCUUCGGGAGGCGCACGCGUGUUCUUAUUUUUAUUUUGUAAAAAGUUUGCUGUUUGAACAAACUAACCAAAAAUAUUUUUGGGGCAAUAAGAUGAAUUUGAUUUGGAACUAAGCAUCAGACGAUAAGGAAUUAUUGUCAAUUUCAUAGGUGUGUAAUUGCUUUGUGACUAUGUGGAAAAAAUAAACAUCUUUUUUAGAUGUGUACUAAGGCACGUGAGCAUAAAGUCUUGGAUUUGCUUUGUGAUAUUUCCUCAAAAAAGUAAAAAAUGAAAACAAGAGUAGAUGAAACAAACCAGGCAAAAUCUAAUAAUUCUUAUUUUUGAAAAUGUUUAUUUUGAUUUUUGCAAGUCCUUAUUAGAGACACGCUGUGUGGCCUGUGUAUGAGCUGACUGGGUGCCAGAGGCACUGAUCUGGGGACGGUUGGGCAGGGCUAGUUCCCAGGACUCGCCGUCUGUUGUACGUGCUGACACACGCUCAACCUUAAGUGCUGCUCUGCGCGAGGCCAGCCAGCCAGCCAGCCAGUGCCCGGCUCUGCUCCCCUCAGCUCAGCGUGGAAUGGACGUGCGCAAGCGGGAGCUGCUUCCUGAGACAUCUGUCAUCAGGCAGCUCCUCUGGGCACUGGGGCUGCUGACGCUGCUUCCUCAGUUGCCUAACUCCGGACAGCAGCGAGAAAGCCAUUUGGGGAGGCUGACCCAGUUUAGAAUUCAAAUUCCCUUCCCUGCAUGUGCAAUUGGAAUUUAUUUCCUAUGCAAAAGGCAAGAAUCUCAGAGUAAAACACCUCUAGCUAGGCGUGGGUAUGUGAGCGCCGAUCCUGGUGAAAAAGGAUCUUGGUGUGUUUUCAUAAGGAUGCGCGCCUUGUGGUAUUCUCAGAACCUGACAUUAUCAAAAGUGUGUCAUCACGAUACAGUGCUGAAGCUAAGGCAAUUUGGAUGUCCUUGGGCCCAAAAUUAAUAUGUGCUUUGUAUAGUCUUGUAAUUUGGGAAGCAAUUUUCCAUAACACAGUGGGAGAUCUUCCUUUAUACAUCUGAGAUAAUUUAGCUCAAUGCUUAUUUGAAAAAAUUACUGCGCUAAUAGCAGCUCUUCAGCUUCAGAACAGCAGACCCUGUGGGGAGAACACAGAAGUCACUGAAAGUGAUUCUCCUGAGUCUGUCUGGGUUCGUCUGGACAAAAGCCGGCGGAAUUUCCCCCAGACCAACAGCUGCCUGAGAUUGUAUGGCAGGAUCCGAAAUAUUGUAUAAACUCAUGAACUCUAGCCGAUUUGCUUAAAGCCCAUAGCCCUGAAUGGAAGAAUAUUAAAUAAAGGUGGAGGAGUAAUGAAUUUCCCCAUUGUCCAGGUAAACUGGGAGUCAGUGCACAUGAGUUGGAAUUCCUGUAUGUUCAGCUAUGGGAACAAUUUGUUCUUCCUACUGGAUUUUUCUGCCCAAGCUACGAAGGAAGAGAUGUAAACAGCAGAAUAAAUUAUAUCUUUCUGCUGGGUGUGUUUUGCCUUGGGCUUCCUGGGUAUUAUGUACCAUCGGGGCAGAGGGUGGGGGACAAUCCUCUGCUCCAAUCAGAAUUUAAUACACUAAUAAAAAUAAAUUUAAAACAUUUUUUUCCCCAGUCAGGAAUGUAGUUUCUAAUGAUGCUGCUUUAGAACAAGUCCUAGGUGAGGCCCCGCAGACUCAAGUUCAAGUUUCUAGUUGCAUUCCUGCUCCUCGGCACUAUCAGCUUCCCACGGUGGCUCUGAAUAGUCAUUGCUGCUGUGGGUGUUCCCCACAUGGCAAGCACUGUGGACAUGAAGAUCAUAUU
rnacentral:lncRNA from 1 species